rnacentral:rRNA from 1 species
CCUACGGGUGGCAGCAGUGAGGAAUAUUGGUCAAUGGGCGCAGGCCUGAACCAGCCAAGUAGCGUGAAGGAUGACUGUCCUACGGGUUGUAAACUUCUUUUAUCAGGGAAUAAAGUGAGGCACGUGUGCCUUUUUGUAUGUACUUUAUGAAUAAGGAUCGGCUAACUCCGUGCCAGCAGCCGCGGUAAUACGGAGGAUCCGAGCGUUAUCCGGAUUUAUUGGGUUUAAAGGGAGCGUAGAUGGGUUGUUAAGUCAGGUGGUAAAAUUUGGGGCUCAACCGUAAAAUAGCAAUUGAUACUGGCAGACUUGAGUACAGUUGAGGUAUGCGGAAUUCGUGGUGUAGCGGUGAAAUGCAUAGAUAUCACGAAGAACUCCGAUUGCGAAGGCAGCCUACUAACCUGCCACUGACAUUGAUGCUCGAAAGUGUGGGUAUCAAACAGGAUUAGAUACCCCUGUAGUC